rnacentral:rRNA from 1 species
UGAGGAAUAUUGGUCAAUGGACGGAAGUCUGAACCAGCCAAGUAGCGUGCAGGAUGACGGCCCUAUGGGUUGUAAACUGCUUUUGUAUGGGGAUAAAGUUAGGGACGUGUCCCUAUUUGCAGGUACCAUACGAAUAAGGACCGGCUAAUUCNGUGCCAGCAGCCGCGGUAAUACGGAAGGUCCAGGCGUUAUCCGGAUUUAUUGGGUUUAAAGGGAGCGUAGGCUGGAGAUUAAGUGUGUUGUGAAAUGUAGACGCUCAACGUCUGAAUUGCAGCGCAUACUGGUUUCCUUGAGUACGCACAACGUUGGCGGAAUUCGUCGUGUAGCGGUGAAAUGCUUAGAUAUGACGAAGAACUCCGAUUGCGAAGGCAGCUGACGGGAGCGCAACUGACGCUUAAGCUCGAAGGUGCGGGUAUCAAACAGGAUUAGAUACCCUGGUAGUCCGCACAGUAAACGAUGGAUGCCCGCUGUUGGUACCUGGUAUCAGCGGCUAAGCGAAAGCAUUAAGCAUCCCACCUGGGGAGUACGCCGGCAACGGUG